rnacentral:rRNA from 1 species
GAUGAACGCUGGCGGCGUGCCUAAUACAUGCAAGUCGAGCGAAAAGACGAGAGUGCUUGCGCUCUCUGACGUGAGCGGCGGGCGGGUGAGUAACACGUGGGUUACCUACCUAUUAGACUGGACUACCUUCGGGAAGGCGGAGCUAAUAACAGAUACUACUUAGCUUCGCAUGAAGCAAUAGUGAAAGACGGUUCUGGUGUCACCUAGAGAUGGACCCGCGGUGUAUUAGCUAGGUGGUGAGGUAACGACUCAACAAGGAGACGAUUCAUAGCCGACCGGAGAGAGUGAUCGGCCACCCUGGGACUUGGCCACCGCCCUGGCUCCUGCGGGACGCAGCAGUAGGGAACCUGCCGCAAUAGUCGAAAGUCUGACGCAGCGAUCCCACGUGAGUUGAGAAGAUUUUCGGAUCGUGAAGCUCGGUUUUAAGGUAUGAACAGGUACGUUCGUUACUGAACGUACCGUGACGGUACCUUACCAGAAAGCCCCGGCUAACUACGUG